rnacentral:rRNA from 1 species
GUCGAACGAUGAAGAUUAAAAGAUUUCUUCGGAAUGAACUUAAUUGGAUUAGUGGCGGACGGGUGAGUAACGCGUGAGUAACCUGCCUUGUACAAGGGGAUAGCCGUUGGAAACGACGAAUAAUACCCUAUGACAUCAAAUAAUCGCAUGAUAAUUUGAUCAAAGAUUUAUCGGUAUAAGAUGGACUCGCGUCUGAUUAGCUAGUUGGUGGGGUAACUGCCUACCAAGGCAACGAUCAGUAGCCGGCUUGAGAGAGUGUACGGCCACAUUGGGACUGAGACACGGCCCAGACUCCUACGGGAGGCAGCAGUGGGGAAUUUUGCACAAUGGGGGCAACCCUGAUGCAGCGACGCCGCGUGAUUUAGAAGGCCUUCGGGUUGUAAAAAUCUUUUGUAUGGGAAGAAAAUGACAGUACCAUACGAAUAAGGACCGGCUAAUUACGUGCCAGCAGCCGCGGUAAUACGUAAGGUCCGAGCGUUGUCCGGAAUCAUUGGGCGUAAAGGGUACGUAGGCGGAUAAGCAAGUUAGAAGUUAAAUCCUAUAGCUCAACUAUAGCAAGCUUUUAAAACUGCUCAUCUUGAGGUAUGGAUGGGAAAGUGGAAUUC